rnacentral:lncRNA from 1 species
GAGAUUGCGCCACUGCACUCCAGCCUGGGUGACAGAGUGAGACUCCAUCUUAAAAAAUAAAUAAAUAAAAUAAAAUAAAUGACAUCACUUUGGUUCAGAGCUCUAAAAUGGAGGGAGGAAGCCAUUCUAAAAAGGACUCCCUACAUGACCUGCAACUUGAAAAAAAAUUAAAAGCUCCAAAAAAAAAACAAUACAGGAGCUUACCUUGAACCUUUGAAUUGGGCCAAAUUGCGAUGACCACUGCAUCCUGGAAAAUUUUAUUUCACCAGCACUACAACUCCUCAACAGCACCAACCAAUAAACUAUGGAUUUUUGUACUAAGCCAGUUGCCUCUUUCAAAACAACUUGUCAACUUGUCUAAUCACCCUCAGCUUUUUUUAAAAACCCCUCCUCUACCCUCUCUCUUCAGAACACAAGUGGCUUCUAGCUGAAUCUGUCUCCCAAAUUGCAAUUCCUAAGACCUCAAUAAAAACACCUUGUCUUGCUGC